GUUUUUUCGUCAUGGACAUUUCAGUGUGCUUCUUAGAAAAGAGCACGCAGUUUCUUAAUGGAAUCGUGUGGUCCUGGCACGAAGAGUCUUGUGCCAAUGCUGACGUUUGCCCAUGACGGAAGAGAGACUUCCA